GAUGAACGCUGGCGGCGUGCCUAAUACAUGCAAGUCGAGCGAACGGACGAGAAGCUUGCUUCUCUGAUGUUAGCGGCGGACGGGUGAGUAACACGUGGAUAACCUACCUAUAAGACUGGGAUAACUUCGGGAAACCGUAGCUAAUACCGGAUAAUAUUUUGAACCGCAUGGUUCAAAAGUGAAAGACGGUCUUGCUGUCACUUAUAGAUGGAUCCGCGCUGCAUUAUCUAGUUGGUAAGGUAACGGCUUACCAAGGCAACGAUGCAUAGCCGACCUGAGAGGGUGAUCGGCCACGCUGGAACUGAGACACGGUCCAGACUACUACGGGAGGCAGCAGUAGGGAAUCUCCCGCAAUGGGCGAAAGCCUGACGGAGCAACGCCGCGUGAGUGAUGAAGGUCUUCGGAUCGUAAAACUCUGUUAUUAGGGAAGAACAUAUGUGUAAGUAACUGUGCACAUCUUGACGGUACCUAAUCAGAAAGCCACGGCUAACUACGUG
rnacentral:rRNA from 1 species